UACAGAGGGUGCGAGCGUUAAUCGGAAUUACUGGGCGUAAAGCGCACGUAGGCGGCUUGGUAUGUCGGGUGUGAAAUCCCCGGGCUCAACCUGGGAACUGCAUCCGAAACUGCCUUGCUCGAGUAUGGGAGAGGGAAGUGGAAUUUCCGGUGUAGCGGUGAAAUGCGUAGAUAUCUGAAGGAACAUCAGUGGCGAAAGCGACUUCCUGGACCAAUACUGACGCUCAUGUGCGAAAGCGUGGGGAGCAAACAGG
rnacentral:rRNA from 1 species